CAAUAGCGUAUAUUUAAGUUGUUGCAGUUAAAAAGCUCGUAGUUGGAUUUCGGAUGGGAUUUGCCGGUCCGUCGUUACGAUGUGCACUGGCCAGUCCUAUCUUGUUGUCGGGGACUAGCUCCUUGGAUUCACUUCCUGGGACUAGGAGCUGACGAGGUUACUUUGAGUAAAUUAGAGUGUUCAAAGCAAGCCUACGCUCUGAAUACAUUAGCAUGGAAUAACACGAUAGGACUCUGGCUUAUCUUGUUGGUCUGUGAGACCAGAGUAAUGAUUAAGAGGGACAGUCGGGGACAUUCGUAUUUCAUUGUCAGAGGUGAAAUUCUUGGAUUUAUGAAAGACGAACUUCUGCGAAAGCAUUUGUCAGGGAUGUUUUCAUUAA
rnacentral:rRNA from 1 species